rnacentral:rRNA from 1 species
UACAGAGGUGGCAAGCGUUGUUCGGAAUUACUGGGCGUAAAGGGCGCGUAGGCGGUUCGUUAAGUCCUGUGUGAAAUCCCCCGGCUCAACUGGGGAACUGCACAGGAAACUAGCGGGCUUGAGUUCGGGAGAGGGAAGCGGAAUUCCGGGUGUAGCGGUGAAAUGCGUAGAGUAUCCGGAGGAACACCGGUGGCGAAGGCGGCGUCCUGGACCAACACUGACACUGAUGAGCGAAAGGCCAGGGGAGCAAACGGG